rnacentral:rRNA from 1 species
GAGUUUGAUCCUGGCUCAGAACGAACGCUGGUAGCGUGGAUUAGGCAUGCAAGUCGAACGGGAUCCGUGAAGAAGCAAUACUGAGCGGUGAGAGUGGCGGAUUGGGGAGGAACACGUGAGCAACCUGCCUUUGAGUUGGGGAAAACCAUUGGAAACGAUGGCUAAUACCGAAUGUGGCGCCUGGUGACAUCACCGGAGCGCUAAAGGGGGCCGCAAGGCUCUCGCUCUUAGAGGGGCUCGCGCACCAUCAGCUAGUUGGCGGGGUAACGGCCCACCAAGGCUUACGGUUAGCUGGUCUGAGAGGAUGACCAGCCCCACUGGGACUGAGAUACUGCCCAGACUCCUACGGGAGGCUGCAGUCGAGGAUCAUUUGCAAUGGGCGAAAGCCUGACAAUGCGACGCUGCGUGGAGGAUGAAGGCCUUCGGGUUGUAAACUCCUGUCAUAAGGGAACAGGCGAUUCGACCUAAUACGUCGGAAAGUUGAGUGUACUUUAAGAGGAAGGGACGGCUAACUCUGUGCCAGCAGCCGCGGUAAUACAGAGGUCCCUAGCGUUGUUCGGAUUUACUGGGCGUAAAGGGCACGUAGGUGGCUAGGCGUGUCAGAUGUGAAAUCUCCGGGCUCAACCCGGAAAGUGCGUCUGAAACUACCUGGCUCGAGUCCGGGAGAGGGAAUCGGAAUAUAGGGUGUAGCGGUGAAAUGCGUAAA